rnacentral:rRNA from 1 species
UACGUAGGGGGCAAGCGUUGUCCGGAUUUAUUGGGCGUAAAGAGCUCGUAGGCGGCUCACUAAGUCGGAUGUGAAAACUCCAGGCUCAACCUGGAGACGCCAUUCGAUACUGGUGUGGCUUGAGUUCGGUAGGGGAGCACGGAAUUCCUGGUGUAGCGGUGAAAUGCGCAGAUAUCAGGAGGAACACCGGUGGCGAAGGCGGUGCUCUGGGCCUUACCUGACGCUGAGGAGCGAAAGCAUGGGGAGCAAACAGG